rnacentral:misc_RNA from 1 species
UACGUCCGCAUUUUCUACGGUCGCCGCUCCGUUGGCUCCGUGUCCGUGAUCUGUCAGUCCGUGCAACUCGACCUGUGGCGUCAUCGUGCAGUGAUGGGUCGAAGCUGUUGAAAUUCCUUUAGAAUCAACCUUCCUCGCAGUUCUACCAAAGCAGCGCCGUAAUUCCGAACAUUUCACUGGCGCGGUGAUGAAAUCAAACGGGAGCAACCGCGGUGCCCUGCGGCCACACUACGGCGGACGCGCUCCGCCUUUCUUGCUCGCAGCACUCUUGAUCGGGCUGGUGCUCAUCGGAUUCUGCUACUACAACUUGUCCUCGCAGUACAGUGCCUUGGAGGUGCAAUACCGGGACUUGCAAGAGCGACUGAGGGCCAUGGCGGAAAAGCGCGAGUCGCUGGAGACCCGUCACGACGAGCUGAAGAAGACGCUCGAGGACAACUCCAAGUCACUAGACGAGAAGGACAAGCAACUAUUGCAGAAAGAGCAAGAAAGAGCCGCCGUCGAAGCCGCGCUUCGCAAGAAAGAGGACGAGCUGAUGACGAAGUCCCGUGAAGCCGACACAGCUGCGAAGGCGCUGACUGGAUGCCUGCAGAGGUUGAACGAGACUUCUUCAAAGUUAUCCGAGAAAGAGACAUCCCUAGCAAAGCUCACCAGUGAAGUCGAUGCUCUGAAGGCCGCUGUCAGGGAUGCUGAAAGAAAAGCUGCUGCUGGUGUACACUCCACUCUCCAAAAGGCAGCAGUUCCUGACAUAAAUCAAAAUGGGGUCAAGGAGGCCCAGGCACCUGCCAAGAAGGAAGAGACAGCAAAGGAACUUGGAAAUUCACUACAAGAUGUGCAACAAGACCCUGAUGUGAAUCCACCACUGGACGCCGGCCAAUAGAGAGUAGCAAGACCUCGGUGGGUUUUGAACGUGAGCACAACUUUACGUGUUUUGAAACGAAUCUCCAUAUAGCUGCCUGACAAGAGAAUUGAAAGUGAAGAGCAUAGGUGCAGAGCGUCCAGGAUGGCAUAAUUGUUCUGUCUCUUCGAUCACUGUCAUUUGCCACUGUGCGUCAUAAUGCUAUCAUGGUGAGGAGGAUCUCGCAGAUCUUCAUUAUUUUUAUUUGGUCCAGCUCAGAGCCUUGUGCAUCAGUUAUUGUGUCCUGUUGGAGCAGGUUGUUCAUUGUGGUUGAAAUUAUUGAUGCUGCCUCAAGGCUCGCAACUCAGUUCACGGAUUUACUGUGUAUGUAUAUUACCCAUCAUUAGAGCAGUGCUUCCAAUGUCAGCAUGAUCAGGUGCGUAAAAGUUAUCGAUGAUUUCUUGUUUGUCACGUUUUGAGCUACACUGCCGGUGUGAAACAGAUGAUUAUUCCAAGAAAAGUAUAUGUUGAAUAUCCUUUUCUUUAGGUUUGAACCUCACUAUUACAGGAAAUCAGGAUAUGUAGCAAAGAGGAUAUUGCCGUGUUACAUACAUUGUUCAUUACAAAAGUGUAUGCAGGCAAAUACACAAUUAGACUCCACAGAAGGAUAAUACCGUAUUUACUCGAUUCUACCGCGCCCUCGAUUGUAACGCGCACCCGUUUUCCGC